rnacentral:rRNA from 1 species
AGUUAUGGCUCAGGAUGAACGCUGGCGGCGUGCCUAAGUACAUGCAAGUCGAACGCAUUACUUCGGUAGUGAGUGGCGAACGGGUGAGUAACACGUAGGUAACUUACCUCUAAGACGAGGGAUAACGACUGGAAACGGUCGCUAAAACUGGAUAGGAUCAUUUGAGGCAUCUCGAAUGAUUUAAAGGGGCUUUCAAGCCACACUUAGAGAAAGGCCUGCGGCGCAUUAGGCUAGUUGGUGGGGUAGAGGCCUACCAAGGCGAUGAUGCGUAGCCGGACUGAGAGGUCGAACGGCCACAUUGGGACUGAGACACGGCCCAAACUCCUACGGGAGGCAGCAGUAGGGAAUUUUCGGCAAUGGGGGAAACCCUGACCGAGCAACGCCGCGUGAAUGAAGAAGGGUUUUUUCCGGAUCGUAAAACUCUGUUGUCAGAGAAGAACAAGUUGGAGAGUAACUGCUCCAGCCUUGACGGUAUCUGACCAGAAAGCCACGGCUAACUACGUGCCAGCCGCAGC